UAUCUCUACUUAAAAUAACAAACUAUUGAUGAAAACAUUCUGCAAUUUAUUCUGCGUUGACCUGGCUGGUCGUUCUCCCCUGGAGACAGCCGGCCUUCCUCCUUUGGGAGAAGACAGCAGUCAGUAGCAAAGUCCUUCUGUUCUAACCAAAGAACGGAUGUAUGUACUGCAACUGUACCUCUUUGGUGUCCUCCAGCGCUUGCAUGAUCGAUGCGACCACCAGGUUCACCAGCACAAACUGAGCCAUAACCACGAAACUGAUGAGGUAUAACGGAGAGACCCAGGAAAUUAAGAUUCAGAAAGGAAGAGGGACUGGCACGCACACUGGAGACAACAUUACAAAAUCAUUCUUACUUCGAAACCACAGAAAUUACAAUAAAGUGACAAUUGGAAACUAAA